rnacentral:rRNA from 1 species
GACGAACGCUGGCGGCGUGCCUAAUACAUGCAAGUAGAACGCACAGUUUAUACCGUAGCUUGCUACACCAUAAACUGUGAGUUGCGAACGGAUGAGUAACGCGUAGGUAACCUGCCUGGUAGCGGGGGAUAACUAUUGGAAACGAUAGCUAAUACCGCAUAAUAUUAAUUAUUGCAUGAUAAUUGAUUGAAAGAUGCAAUUGCAUCACUACCAGAUGGACCUGCGUUGUAUUAGCUAGUAGGUGAGGUAACGGCUCACCUAGGCGACGAUACAUAGCCGACCUGAGAGGGUGAUCGGCCACACUGGGACUGAGACACGGCCCAGACUCCUACGGGAGGCAGCAGUAGGGAAUCUUCGGCAAUGGACGAAAGUCUGACCGAGCAACGCCGCGUGAGUGAAGAAGGUUUUCGGAUCGUAAAGCUCUGUUGUAAGAGAAGAACGGGUGUGAGAGUGGAAAGUUCACACUGUGACGGUAUCUUACCAGAAAGGGACGGCUAACUACGUG